rfam:SAR86 cluster bacterium SAR86E ctg6, whole genome shotgun sequence.
AUUUGACUGGUUCAUUCGCCAACUUAUCGAGAUUCUUUGAACCGAUAAUAUAUUUAAAGGUGAUUUUCCACUGCUGUUGUUGUGCAUUACCAUUGAGGGAAGCCUGAUGCAGUAUGAGCUUCACCACCUGAGCUUUCGGUUCAGGUAACGAUGAGUAGCGGUGAAUUGGUUUUUAG